UCGCUAGUAAUCGCGGAUCAGCAUGCCGCGGUGAAUACGUUCCCGGGCCUUGUACACACCGCCCGUCACACCACGAGAGUUGACAACACCCGAAGUCGGUGAGGUAACCUUUUAGGAGCCAGCCGCCGAAGGUGGGGUCAAUGAUUGGGGUGAAGUCGUAACAAGGUAGCCGUAUCGGAAGGUGCGGCUG
rnacentral:rRNA from 1 species